rnacentral:ncRNA from 2 species
UAUAAUGAUGGCCUUAUCGGUUUUGUCGAGGAACAGUCGACAAAAGCAAUGGGGAAAGAAUGGUGCAAAUCCAUCGCUGUCCCGCAACUGUAAUGAAGGUUUAGUGAUUACUAGCUUCUGAGUCAGGAUGCCCGCCGAUAGUUAUACGUACAU